GUCUACGGCCAUACCACCCUGAACGCGCCCGAUCUCGUCUGAUCUUGGAAGCUAAGCAGGGUCGGGCCUGGUUAGUAUUUGGAUGGGAGAAGUUUGAUGAGAAAGAAGCAAAAUAAAAGAGACCUCUAGAGU
rnacentral:rRNA from 1 species